CUUACCUUUGAUCCACAUAAAUAGCUCCAAAGCAAAUCCUUUAGCUAAUAGCUACUCAAAGGACAUUGUUGAGCAUGUUUAUUCAGAGUUCAGGUAAACCAGUAGCUCCAAAGACCAGCUGGGAGUGAACUAGCAAGUGGAAUCACCUGCCCGCCCCUGCACUUUACCUACUGUUAUUUUCUCAGCUGAGUCGCGCAGUAGAGUGGAUUGCCAGCCCAGCUGUUUCCCUUCCCAAGCAGCAAUCCGGAAGCAGCAAGAGUACUCUACACCCAAAAAUUGAAGGUCAUCUUAAUCCCCACAAUGGAUGAAUGGCUGCAAAAACUGAUGGAGUUAGCAGAGGUGGCUACAUUGACUGUUCUGAGUAAAGAAAAAAUCCCACAAAUAUCUUUAUUUCUACUUGGAAACCACUUCUGGACUUUGUGAUUCUUGUUGAGUCCUUUCAGCCUGUUCUCUACCAGGAACGAACAGACUCAUCAAAACAUUUGAGGAAAGAGGGAUUUUUUUAAAAAACAAAAGAUAUUUAAGUACAAAUAUCAACCUGAAGUGUCUUUUAACAGUGUUUAAACAAUGGUUUGUCUCUUGUUUUACUUAUCUUCCAAUUCCAUUCCAUUGAAAUGAAACAGCAGUAAUUGAAAAUUUAUAAGCAAAAGACCUGAUUUUGCAGUUUCUUAUUUUUAGCUGUUUUGUUAUAUCUUCCUGGAGAAUAUGGAAACUCUCUGAGAAUGUUUGCUUUCAAGAGAAAGGAACAUUUAUCAAGUGAAACAGGAUUUUGCAAGCAAAGAACACAUUCAGACUAACAAAAAGUAACUACCGUCUUAUUUAAUUGUUCUUCAUCUACAAAGAACACUUUUCUGCAUUUGAAGAAACGGCCAUAUCAUUAGAUAAAGGCAUAUACACUUAACACACUUUCUUAUGAAUUUAUUUUCCAAGGGAGGUUAGUCCCCACCCUUUACUAUAUUUAAAUAAUAUGUGGUUGUGUUCCAUUUCCAUGGAAUGUUAUUGUUCGCUGUUUUAAAAAAAUCCACUCCUAUUUUGAUUGUUUUGAUAUGUAAGCAGAAUUUAAUUUAACAUAAUUGGUAUGCUUUCUUGAGUUUACAUUGGACAGAGGACUGACCUACAACUAAGAAAUAGAUGAAUGGCAACACCAUGAAAAUCUGAUAAAUAUGUUUCUGGGAGUCAAGGUUUAACUACUUUUUAAAGACCUGAUACUGUUUUAUAUUGAAUUAUUCUAAUAUGUAUUAGCUUUAUACCUUCCUUCCCUCCCCUAGUUUAUUUCUUGUUUUGUUUUCUGUACCACCUAUUACUGUGCUCAGCUAUUAUCUUUGUUUUAUUCUUUUGUUCUACUUUAAAAAGUAUUUUCUUAAAUAAGUGAGUGAAUAAGUAUUUGUUGGCAUAAAAGAUCUUGGGUUGAAAACUUUGCAGAUUAGAAUCAAAUUCCUUGCAUUCUCUUUUAGCAGAGCUGUGUAGAAUGAAAAGCAAGCCCUUCAACUUUUAAUGUUCCCAUAACAAUCCAGAAUCCUUCUGGGCAAAAGAAUCAGAUGACAUCAGAGGUCAAUCUAUAAUCUUUGAUCCAAAUUGCAUCAGCUGGUACUGUAGAAGGCCUUGAGCUUAUCUACUGAAACAAUUAGCUCAUAUCAUUCCCAUUUUCUAGUUGUGGCCAAUUUCCAAUACUGUCCAGCAUGCAAACCUACAGCUUGAACAUAAGUGACCUAUAUUCAAGGAUCUAUUAACUCUCUGUACUCUUGCCUAUUUAAAUAUGGGCCUGAAACACUGUAAUGAAGAAAAAAUUUAGAGGGAAGCUGAUAUAAAUUUUAGUAGAACAGCCUAGGGACCUUUCAAUUGGCGUCAAUGGUUCUCUCAAAAUAACAGUUUCCCAUAGAUGCUCUUAAGUGGAAGAACAAAAAGAAAUGUUAGUACCUUCGUUCACAUUUAAUAAUGUGUACUUUAUUUUUCAGACCAAGUCAAAUUAGCUAAUGGGCACUAGAAACUUUGCAGAAGAAGCUUGCCUAUCAAUCCAAAUAGUAAAAAAAGAAAAAAGAAUCUUUUUGCUAUUUAUGUAAGAAGUGUAAAUGCUGAAGAAUUUAUAAACAUUUUUUGUCAAGUUUAAUAAUCAGGCAUUCAAUAUUAAUUUGCGAGAAGUAAUAUGUUAUAAAAAUACUCAUUUUUAUUUAGGGGGACUAAAUUUUAUUUGGGAGACUAGAACAAUAGGAUUUAUUUAUUCAAUUACUGAGAAGUUAGUCCCAGGCUUCUGGAGAAAGAAAUGGCAGACUAAAGAGCUGGUAGGUAAAUUGGCUCUUCAAAACCUCUUCAGACAAGGAGAGGACAAGGAGAUUGCCCACAUAGCACUCUCUGGUUGAUUUAGAGCUCUGGCAGCCGAGGGAAUUGUUUGCUCAAACUGUUGUCCAUACUUUUGAAAGGACACCAAGUUUUCAUGUUUCCUUUUCUAGUCAUUUUUUGAAAUGGCUUAUUAACUCUUUUUCAGUUAUUUGGAACCUUUGGCUCAACAAGUUGGAUAGCAUUAGGAACCACAGUUAUUAUUCAGAGGGAAGCCAUUCUGGAUUAGUUUUGUGACGUCCUUGUCCCAAUCUGAUUGGUGGUCUGAUGAUUGCAAUGAGGACAUUUUCAGCAACAGCCAUUCCUUCACUCAAACCAAACAGCAGGCAGCAAAAUACAAUUUAAAAUCAGCAAUUUUCUCAGCUUCUCUUAUGUCACAAUUCAAAACUUCAAGAGCCAGAAGGAAUAACAAUGGAGAAACAAGCUGAUGACCUUAUCCUGCUUGCGUGUAACCACAGCCCAAACAUGCUGUUGUAACUACUUUUCUAUGAUUUUUCACAUGUUGUUUUUAUUGUACCUCCACCCCUUUUGCCCGGAGCAACAUUACUUCACCUUUAACUAUUCUAGUGUUAAAAGUACCAUUUCAUAAGACCUUUUUUUUUUGUGGCAACCUGGAUUGGAAACUUAAACCAAAGUUCAAAGUGUCUCAGUGCUCAAUGCUCAAGUUGGUAAUAUUUAUUACACAGAAGAUAGCACAACACAAGAAUUUCAGAAAAUACUCUGUUUUUAGUGAGAGAUUUCAGACUUGGCUUUUCCCCAUUCCAAGCCAAUCCUCCAUUUCCAAACCUUGAACAGCCGUGUAACAGUUGAUAAUGGUUGGGGAGGUUUCAAGGUGAAGCAGAAAAAUAGUCUACUAUUUCACAGCUUGUAUUUGUACUGUACAGGUGAUCUGUUGUUGUUUAUUAAGUACUGGUUUGCAAGUUUUUUUGGAAGAAUGCUAAAACUACAUUUAAAAAUGACCUGACUUAAAAGCUACCAGAUGCUUGAUUGCAAGCAGAAAUGUCUAACUUUUCUCACUGCAUUCUCACUGAGCAUGCUCCCUGUCGGCUGUUACCUGGGUUACUUUUAAAUACAAGCUUGGUGCUCAGAUGUAAAAGCAAUUAUAAAGGGUAAUCUUUCAGGUUCAAAGAAGGCCUACUGUUGUGCAAUUCAUCUGUGCAUAUGAAGAUGGGUCUUCAAUCCUAGUUUGGACACACAAACAGUGAUGCAAUUCAGCCGGUUCUAUCCAGUUUGGGUGAACUGUAGCAGUGGUGGUGAGAAGCUCGCCCUCCGCCCAUCAUCAUGUCCCAUUUUUGAUGCUCUGUGCAAGCGCAGAGAUGGCAUAUGUGAGUGAAGUGAGUGCAUGUGCAUGCACUCACAUUUGCGAACUGGUAGCGAAGAUAAGUUGAUUUCACCACUGAACAGAGUCUGCCACUAUGGGAUCACUAGAAGUCCCAUUUUUGUAGCAACUGGGGAUGUUAUUCUGUGACGUUGCUCAUGGUUUUCAGUUUUUGGCAGUGCCUGUCUUCAAUGCUAGUGGAGGCUUCAUAGCACAGGGCUCGCCAGCAGGUCCUUCAAAAGCUUCUAGUUUCCAGUUCCAUUGGCUGGAUGUCCCAGUGGUAUAGAGUUUCUUUCAAGCAUAUUUGUAGUGCUUUUGUGAUCUCUUCCCAGACUCCAGUGCAUUGUAGAGCAAUUGGCAAGGCACAUGACAGUCAUCCAUUCUAAUGAUGUGUCUGACCCAUCUCAUCUAGGUUCUGAUAAUCAGGAGCUCAAUGCUGGUGGACUCUGCACAAUCCAAGACCUCCAGGUUGGAGACACAGGCUUGCCAACAAAUGCUCAGGAUGGAGUGGAGAGCAUGCAAGUGAAGUUUCUCCAGUUUUUGCAUGCAACUUUGACACAGAGUCCAGGGCUCAAACCAUAGAGAGGGAAGGGAUAACCAUAGCUCUGUACACAUUUAACUUUGUGGAGGUACAGAUGCUGUGUGGCUUGAGUACUCUAGUAUGCAGCUACUUCAGUGCCCAAGGGCGAGCAUUCUGAUUUAGAAGGACCAUAAACUGACAUUAUGAUGUUGAAGAACUCUCUGGUGGUAUGCAUGUCUGCAUAAUGUUCCACCUGCUCAGCCUUCCUCUGUCACCACUGAUCCUGCUUUACUCACAAUUCUGUCUGUAUUUUGGAUGCAAAUGCUUAAGCUUGUCUUUUUCUGAGAUAGAUAAUGGAUUGUUCUGCUGGUCCAUGGAGCCUUGUUCUUGGCCUGGAGGCCCGCUGAAGUGCUUUUGUGGUUUUCAUCAACCCAGUCUUGAUAUGCUCAAGUUUGCAAUCUAAAGUAUAGUUGUUACAGUCUGCACAAUGACAUCUUUUAAAUGUCAUUCCAACUCGGAACAGGUUUCCACAAGCAGUAUAUUGUCAGAGAAUUUUUCAUUAAGUACAUAUUGGAAGUGUUGGUUUGGAUCUUGUAGUCUACUGAUGUUGAAUGACUUUUGACAGUUCUAAUUGCAAUAUAAUAAUGCUUUAUAUAUAUAUUGAGGACUGAAUGGACCAGCCUGUGAUUUGUCCAGCAUUCAGCACCUCUCAUGGUGUGAAUGAUGGUGACAUAUUUUUAAGAUUACACUAACAAACUACGAUAUAGUCAAGUAGGUGCCAGUGUUUGGACCUGGGAUGCAUCCAAGUAGUUUUGUACUUGUUCGCAUGUUUGAAUGUAGUGUUAAUAAUACACACGUUGUGGUUGGCAUAUUUGCUCAGAAACUUCAAGACAUUGUUAUUUAGUUUUCUCAAGCCUUAAUUCCAAAGAACCCAAUCCCAGUUGUCACUAUCUAUUCUCCAAUCAAUUGGAAUGAUAUGUUUGUGACUGAUGGGGGUUUGUUCAAAUACUCUGGUCCAGAUCUUCGUAAAAAGCUUCCUUGUCUUUGUCUAGACUUGCAAAAGUGGUUGCGUAGAUGAGGACAAUAGUGAUAUACCAGGAUUGGUUGUAGAAUUUCAUAAUGCGUUCCUUUAUUCCAGUAGAUAGAGAAGUUCUUUAGCAGAACAGUUUUCAUUGCAAAAUCUACUCUGUGAGUCUUGUUGUCAGUCUGUGGUUUCCUUUUCCAAAAAGAGAAAAGAAAUGUCUCUAUUCCCUAUUUCCUGUAAUAAACCUUCAACUCUCCGUCUGGUGUCCCUGAGUGCAUUGUCAAUUCUAUAACAGCAAAAUUUGUCUGCUAUGAGUGCUGUUCGUUUUUCAGCCUUUGACAUCUCGUCUUUCUCCAGCAAGGUUCCAGACUCCAAAAAAAUGAGUUUUAUUUUAUUCUUGUUUUUAUUCUUGACCACUAAGAAGAUGAUCUGCUAGCUGCUGUUAACUAGACAGAUGUUGUUUAGAUAGACAGAGGUUUAGGAUAGUUUUUUCUAACCCAUCUCAUGUGAGGAUGGGCAGUGCUGUCCUAGAAUGGAUGUCCAGUUACUUUGAACACUGCCGGACAUCUUUGCUGCCUUGGGUACAGAAAUGAACAAGUAUUGGUUAACUGCCAACCUGUGUGUAAAAUGAAGUUAGAGGAUAGAUUUAGCAUUACUUUGAUAUAGUACCAAACUGGGGUUCAAAUGUAGCACCAUAAACAGUUGACAUGUUCAGAAAGGGCAUGUGGAAAAUCUUUCUCCUCUUCUUAGGCCCACAUUCCCAUCUUGAGGAACAGUUGCCAACUCUUUGGUCAUCUACUCACAAAGCUGAUCUUUUUUUGUGUCUCCUCCAUUCCUUUUAACCAGAUCAGCCAUCAAACUUUGGACAAGUAGCCAAAGAAAUAGGGCAGCCUUUCCUGCUUUACCAGGCUUCUAUUUCACAGAUUAGGUGUCUUGGUACUAAUUUUU